rnacentral:lncRNA from 1 species
GGCUGAGGAAGAGGCAGGAAGGAUAUUUUGACUUGCUAACCAAACAGCCAGCAGCUCUCAUGACAACUCUGUGACAGCACAUCCUUCAAAGGCCAGCAGCCAGAUAAACAAACUGGGCUACCAGAUAUUUCAGCAGCAAGUCUCAGCCAAGGAAGGAAAGCCCUUGAGUCCUUUUAAUGAGGAAAGAGAAGCAAACAGCCAGUGAUGAACCAGUUCAGUCCUUCUCUCAAACCCCAGAGACAGCUCCCUGCCAGCCCCAGACAGACGUGUCUGAGCACAAGUGCCAUCCCAAAGGUCUCAACUGGGCAAUCCAGAGAGAGAAACUGAGGCACAGCAGUGACAUCCCUGAGGAUAUGUGACAGUAAGGAGAGCACAGAUCACAGUAGCCUUCAGCACACCAUGCAACACCAGCUCACAGAGCUCAGUGCACCAGGUAUUAAUUCAGCCUUG